CAUAAUAGAAAUUAAGGUAAAACUAAUUCCUUCACAACUGUUUUCACGAUUAAAUAAAAGAUAAACAUUAUCUACAUUUUGAGAAAAAAGUCCUCAAAAAAUCUCCUUGCAGAAUCCUGAAAAAUCGAUCAUAAAGAUUUAGUAAAAAUCGAUAUUUAAAUGUGUCUCUUAAAUUACACCAUACUUUAAUUUUAUGCACGUUCGGUGACGUCACGUUUAUUACAUUUUCGUUGAAAGAUCUGAAGUUAAUUCAAUUCCAGCAUUCCAAGUGCAAAGAGGAAGGGCUAAACAUAGUAUGGGAUGGUUGAUUGCAGAAGACAAUAUUUAGCGAGAGUCCAGCCUUUUAUAUUUUGGCGAACAUAAAUCAAUACGUUAAUUGAAUGUGGCAAGAAUUUUCCAUAUAUCCAAGUUCGGAGAGGCUAAAUGAGUUAUGUUUGAAAAGAUCCAGCAUUUUUGAAAAGCAAUUUACAGAUGCAAAACAAUGUGUCUCUGUGAAAAGGGUAUAGGCUAAAGGUUUCAACAGCACCGGCCGAAAAGUUGAGAAUUGAACAAGGGCAGGGCAAUAUGUAUAUAUACAUGUGUAGCGUUGUCAGACUAUAUGGAUAGUCGGGCCUCGGUGACACAAAUGAUGAAAUAACAUUGUGUUUUUUCAGUGUCUUAACAUUCAGAAGAUUAAUUUUAUUUUAAAAUGUCAUUUUACAAUAAAUUU